rnacentral:lncRNA from 1 species
GAGGAGUUCCACGUGAAACAACAACAAUUUGGCAGCAAGCACUCUCCACUCCCCUUACUUCAAGCUUACAAUUUUAACCUCUUCCCAAAUAAAACCAAUCAUCCACCAAGAGCAAAAGAUGAUGUUUUUCCUUCCCUUCUUGGCCAAUUAAACCCUAAAUUUCUAGUUUAAGUAGAGGACGUUUUUCAGAGCAAAGGGAGGCAAUUUUAGGAGCUGAAACGGAGAAGAGAAAAACCAAAAAAAUCUCAUUUUUUCAUCACUUUUCCAAAAUCCGAAAUUGACUCAAACACCUUCCAAACUUCAAUCUUCUUCACCCAAGAGCCUCCAAACACUUUCAGUAGAUAAUAACCAUCGAAAAAACGAAAGAAAAUCGUCCAGAAAAGCCUACCCAAAACUCCAAAAUUGCCAAGAAAAAGGGGUUAACAAACCCACUGAUACAAAGCUCAAAACAAGUAGGUUUCUAAACGUUUUUCACUCAUGAACACCCACUGAAGCUUUUCCAUUCGUUAAUUUUGCUUACUCUUGCUUAAAUCAUAUUUUGGUUUUUUGAGUUCUCAAGUUGUUGUUCCGUUUUUUCAAAAUAUAAGCCUCCACUGUGAAAUCUAAGCAUAGAUUCAUGACCAGUGCGAAAAACCGAGC